rnacentral:rRNA from 1 species
CAGUCGCCGCGGUAAUACGUAGGGUGCAAGCGUUAUCCGGAAUUAUUGGGCGUAAAGAGCUCGUAGGCGGUUUGUCGCGUCUGCUGUGAAAACUGGAGGCUCAACCUCCAGCCUGCAGUGGGUACGGGCAAACUAGAGUGCGGUAGGGGAGAUUGGAAUUCCUGGUGUAGCGGUGGAAUGCGCAGAUAUCAGGAGGAACACCGAUGGCGAAGGCAGAUCUCUGGGCCGUAACUGACGCUGAGGAGCGAAAGCAUGGGGAGCGAACAGGAUUAGAUACCCGUGUAGUCCCUGUCUCUUAUAC